CCUACGGGAGGCAGCAGUGAGGAAUUUUCCGCAAUGGGCGAAAGCCUGACGGAGCAAUACCGCGUGAGGGAUGAAGGAUUUUGGUCUGUAAACCUCUUUUCUCAAGAAAGAAGUUCUGACGGUACUUGAGGAAUAAGCAUCGGCUAACUCCGUGCCAGCAGCCGCGGUAAUACGGGGGAUGCAAGCGUUAUCCGGAAUGAUUGGGCGUAAAGCGCCUGUAGGUUGUUUAUUAAGUCCGUUGUUAAAGCCUAGGGCUCAACCCUAGAAAAGCAAUGGAAACUAGUAGACUAGAGUAUGGCAGGGGUAGAGGGAAUUUCUAGUGUAGCGGUGAAAUGCGUAGAUAUUAGAAAGAACACCGGUGGCGAAAGCGCUCUACUGGACCAUUACUGACACUCAGAGGCGAAAGCUAGGGUAGCAAAGGGAUUAGAUACCCCUGUAGUCCUAGCCGUAAACGAUGGAUACUAGAUGUUGUGCAUUAUGUACAGUAUCGUAGCUAACGCGUUAAGUAUCCCGCCUGGGGAGUACGCUCGCAAGGGUGAAACUCAAAGGAAUUGACGGCUGAGAAGUGCGAGCGACGACGAGGGAGGAGG
rnacentral:rRNA from 1 species